rnacentral:rRNA from 1 species
UACAGAGGUCUCAAGCGUUGUUCGGAAUCUCUGGGCGUAAAGGGUGCGUAGGUGGCGUGGUAAGUCAGAUGUGAAAGCCCGGGGCUCAACCUCGGAGUUGCACCCGAUACUACCAUGCUAGAGUACUGAAGAGGUGACUAGAAUUCCCGGUGUAGCAGUGAAAUGCGUAGAUAUCGAGAGGAAUACCAAAGGCGAAGGCAGGUCACUGGGCAGUUACUGACACUGAGGCACGAAGGCUAGGGGAGCAAACGGG